CGUUACGAGGUUACCUCUGUCAUUAUCUUCAACUUAUGUAGAUAAUAGAAUGUAGCUGUUAA
rnacentral:ncRNA from 1 species